GGUACGUGCAUGAUAAUAUGCAGCGACCUUUAGUCUACUUUCUAGUAGGUGUCUUUCACGACUCCCGUGUUCACACUGUUGUCAAUUAGGUGCCACCGACAGGCCCGACCAGAGGGGGGGGGGGGCAGGGGGGCAAAAUCCCCGGGGCCCGGGCCCGGCCGUUAGCAAAUUUAAAAAAAAUUCCUUUUAUUAUAAUAUUUUACAACAGAUUGAAUUUGCUUGCGGUUUUAAUUAUGAAAUUAUUAUAAGGAAUAUUAUGCAUUUGGAAAAGGCAAUAAGGCAAUAAUAUAAGUUUAAGAUCUACUAUGGGUCAACAACGAUUAUCUGAUUUGGGACUGUUAAGCAUAGAGUCGAAACUUGCAAAAACUCUUAAUUUCGACCACGUGAUCCAAAACUUUGCGGAUAUGAAAGCAAGAAAAGUUAUGUUGUAACUAACAGUUCUAUUGUAAAUAAUUAAAAACAAAGUUUAAUUGUUAAAACUGUUUUAAUUUUCUUCCUUCCUGUGUCAAUAGCAUGAGUGUUCACUAUUACAUAUCCCAGUUUAUGAGUUAUCAGAUUUUUGAGAAUUUUCGUUCAACUGGGUUUGGGGGGGGGGCGGCCCGGUCUCAUUCCAGGGGCCCGACCCUGACCACCGACAAGGCUACCCUCUUUACAUUUCAACAAUUUUUCAAUGACUGUAAAAAUGGGCACAUGAGAAUGAGACAAAUAUCUGAUAUCUGAUAUUGGCCCGGAGCUGAAAGUGUUGGUUAUUCGAUAAGGUUUUGUACGCCGUAUUAAGUAGGAAAAUUCCUCUAUUUAUUUGUUGCACCUGGUUUUGUUUCCCCUUUUAUGUGUACGGAUUAUUACACUUUUGACUAUUUUGUUACUAUUUUCUCUUAAUUCGAUAUAAGAGUUAUUAUUUUUUGUAAUUUGGGACUUUUUACAUCCAGAAUGUUACUUCCAUGUCUAUCAUCGACAACUAGGUGAUUAAUUUGGUUUCGUGUGGAGUUGUCGUUAGAGACCCAAGUCUGUUUAUAACAAAAAUAUGUAUUUAUUAAAUGAAAUAACUUUUCUGAUCUGUCUUCUUCUUCUUUAAGUACCGUGCCCAAAUUUUUGGCGUAGGUAGCUUCCAUGACAAUUUGCCGAUAUCGUUCUCGAUCUUGCGCGGCAUGUAAUAGUUGAUCUGCUGAUAAGCAAGUCCAUUGACGAAGACGAAGGUUUCGGAUCCAUGAAUAUUUCUUCCUACCAAUUCCACUUUUUCCGUCGAUAUUUCCUAUGAGUAUCAACUGCAGCAUUCUCUAUCUGCUACCUCUCAUAUAUGCCCGAGAUAUUCAAGUUUUCUCUUUUUUAUCAUCUUGAUUAAGUCACCUUCGCCUUGACCUACUCUGUUUAAGACUUCUCUGUUUGAAGUGCGUUGAACCCAAGAUAUUCUGAGCAUUCUACGAUAUGACCACAUCUCGAAGGCUUCUAAUUUGUUCAUCAUGUUAACCUUCAAGAUCCAAGUUUCACAUCCAUAUAAUAAUACAGGAUACACAUAACAUUUUAGGAACUUGAUUCUUAGUUGUAAAUUCAGCUGAGAGUUGCUCAGAGUAGAUCUACGUUUCGUAAAUGUUCCUCUUGCAAUUUCUAUACGAGCUUUAAUUUCUUCAUCCGGAUUUAGUGUCUCGUUUAUCCAACAUCCUAGGUAUUUUGUAACGUUACAAUGUUCCAUCUCCUUUCUAUAAUUCGUCCUUUUGUCUUCCUUUGUGUUUUACUUCUCAUAUAUAGAUUUUCUCUUUAUUUUGUUUCUUUGACAUUUGAGUUAAUUUUCGUUCCAAGCCUUUUCGUUUUAGUUAACAUUUCAUUCUACAGUCUUUCCAUUCAAAUUAAGUUCCCAUUCGCUAUGCAAAAAUUAAGUUCCGCACUUCAAUUGUUCUAGCUCCUGUCCUAUUCCCUUAACGUACUUCAAAUAAUAAUUUUCUGAAACCUGAACUAUUUAUUGUAAUUAGCGAGUAUUAAAAUAUUCGUCAGUACUAGUUUUUCUCCAAUAUGUUAUCCACUUAAAAAUGAGUGCCUUCGGAAAAUUUGCUCUCUUUUGAAUAAAACUUGAAAUAAGUAAAACCAAUGUAAUAUUAUCUGUAACAAGAGGUGUUUCCCAACUUAUUUGGGUCGCUGGGGAGAGCCCAUGUACCAGGCUAUAUAAAUCAAAUACCAUCUAGCCGCCGUUUUGCACCGGUGACCAUGAAACUACAGUAAGGGCCUGCACCCGAACACCUCCACCUUCAGUCAACAGAGGCCACGUGGAGCCGAAGUCCCUCCAAGACCUGAAGACAGCAACGGAGAUCCCUCGACGCCUCGACGGUCGCAUAAGAUAAGUAGCCUCUUGCAGUCAGGUGUUCGCAAAGUGCUACUAAACGAACUAGUUCCUUGACAAUAAGUUUUUAUUUUUUUUGUUAAUAAAUUUCAAUUUUCCUUUAUUCAGUAUUUUGAAUGGCGAUAAUGUGUAUUUAAUUGAUUUAAUAAGGUCAAUAAAUGAAAUGUGAACCUUU
rnacentral:lncRNA from 1 species